GGAUUUGGUUUAUUUCACAAGUGUCCUUUCUCAAACUCUGCAACAUGUUAAUUUUUAUGUCCGAAGUGAAGAAAUUGGAGAUGAGUACCUCUGCGAUACAUUUUUCUGUUUGUGGUAUAUAUUUUCAACUAUUGCUUAUUUGACAAUCUGAACUUAGAUUUGAACAUUUCUGCAUUCAUGCUUCCCAUGCUGUGUCUGAAACAUACCUUUGCAAGAUCAAUAUUUGCCUUUGCCUCUGACCAUGUCUGACAGUGGUCCUAUUAUAAAUCCUAUAAAGGUGUUGCAAGCUAGGACUGUUAUCAAAGGCAACCAAACAGUUCACCAAGUCUUAAUUCAAUGGGAUCAACAUGUUGCGUCUGAAGCUACAUGGCAAGCAAUUGAUGACUUGCAAUAGAAGUUUCCUUCUUUCAACCUUGAGGACAAGGUUAAUUUUAAUGGGGAGGGUAUUGUAAUGAAGCCACA
rnacentral:lncRNA from 1 species